rnacentral:lncRNA from 1 species
GACCCCCAAAUAACUAAAGGCAUUACCUCUAUAUUGAAGAAAAUAUAAAAUAAUAUUAACCACAGAUUUCAUUAUUUUGGUGUGAGAAUGUGAUGGGAUAUAUAAAAAAAUGCUUUGCUUAUUUGAGAAAUAAAUUGAAAUAGAUAUUUAAAGAUAAUCUUGAUAAAUAAUAGUCAUCUUAAAAAUUAAAUUUGAAAACAGAAAACUAGCUUUUGUGGGUAAAUAAAAGCCAAUACUACAAAUACAGGUAGGGGACCAUUUUUCUUAGAAAAGGAAACUUAUAGUACUUUAAGAAAAAUGGAACAAACUCUCUCUACAAUUCAAUAUAAUAUACUUCACAGAAAUAGAAAUCAAAGUAAAUUAACCCAAGUAGAAAUUAACUUUGGCCAUAACCCCAUGUAAGUCUUUGCAUCAUUAUACCAGAUAAUCUAUAAAUAGUAUUGACAAGGCUGAAUUGG